rnacentral:rRNA from 1 species
GAUGAACGCUGGCGGCGUGCCUAAUACAUGCAAGUCGAGCGAACGGACGAGAAGCUUGCUUCUCUGAUGUUAGCGGCGGACGGGUGAGUAACACGUGGAUAACCUACCUAUAAGACUGGGAUAACUUCGGGAAACCGGAACUAAUACCGGAUGAUAUUUUGAACCGCAUGGUUCAAAAGUGAAAGACGGUCUUGCUGUCACUUAUAGAUGGAUCCGUGCUGCAUUAGCUAGUUGGCAAGGUAACGGCUUACCAAGGCAACGAUGCAUAGCCGACCUGAGAGGGUGAUCGGCCACACUGGAACUGAGACACGGUCCAGACUCCUACGGGAGGCAGCAGUAGGGAAUCUUCCGCAAUGGGCGAAAGCCUGACGGAGCAACGCCGCGUGAGUGAUGAAGGUCUUCGGAUCGUAAAACUCUGUUAUUAGGGAAGAACAUAUGUGUAAGUAACUGUGCACAUCUUGACGGUACCUAAUCAGAAAGCCACGGCUAACUACGUG